AUUAAAGACUACAGUGACAUAACAUCAGACAGUCUGAGAGUUGCAGCAGAUUGCUCUCUGAUUCUGAAGAAAGUCACAGAAAAGCAAGUUGGUCAUUAUUAUUGUGAUCAAUUCAAAUCAGACAGUUCAAAGCAACCCGUUCUAGUUAGCUGGUCUUUCGUGGAUCUGUCUAUCGUCAACAGUGAGUAUUUAUAAGCUGGUUGAACCUUCACAACAGUCGUGACCACAGAAAAAUGUCUAAUUUGUCUCAUUGUGUUGUUUUUUCUUUCAGUCGUGACUGAACAUGAAUCCGAUGACGAGGAGACACUGAAAUGCUUCGUGACGUCUAUACAGGAAAACUGUGAAAUGGAAGUGAAGUGGACGAUCAAAGAUCAAGAUAUUGAUGAAGUCAACAGUCAGAUAAAGACAGAAAAGAAUGGAUGUUCUGCCACUGUGACUCUUAAAAAGUCACAUUAUCUUCACCCACAAACACACUUCCUGAGCUGUGAAGUGACUGACAACAGAACAGGAGAAACGUUUCGUUUCAGUCCUCGACCCUCAGGUGACACGAAAUCAACAAUGAAACCAGAAAGCUUCACAAAAUCAGCUGGAACUGAAACCAAUGGAGCUUCAGCAGAUCCACAAGGUAACGACUCCAUUUACUGUAUCAGUUAA
rnacentral:lncRNA from 1 species